rnacentral:lncRNA from 1 species
GGUCUUGGAUACACAUUUAACCUUUAAAGAGUUCUGGAAGGAACAUUACAACAUCCUUUCCUGUAUGGGAUUAAUUGAGAAAUUCUGGGCCAAUGCCUCUCUAAGGACACUGAGAUCUGCCUGUAUACAGGAGAGAGAUUUUGAAGACUGUGUAAAGGAACCUGAGCCUUCAUUGGAACAACUCACAGCUGUCUUCUGGAAUAAAUCAAGUUAGACACAACUCUUUUCCCCUUGUAGACAUCGCAUGAAGAUUGGCUCUGAAAAAUACCAACAGGAGUGUCUGCUUCUGAUUAAGGUAAGUAGUACU